AUACCAAUUCUUCAGUCACGGAUUCGCAAACACGUGUUAAAUUCCACCGUACGACGUAUAGAGAUAUCUCUCGGCUCGUCGACCGCCGAGAAAACACGAUCAAAAUUUCGCGAGCAAUGACGAAACUGAUCCGAAAACGAUUCGUCUCUUCUCGGUAGAUCGAUGGACAAUAAUAUCAUAAUAAUCGCAAAGCUGGCUUCGAUAUAACACGUAUUCAAUUGCAAUAUAUAUACCGAAGCCAAAUAACGUAACGAUAUAAUGAUAUAACGCUAUGAUUUCCGACACGUGUCUUCAGAAACCGAGAUUGACAACAUUCGCUUAUUCGAUAAAAAAAAUAUAUAUAUGUAUUAAAGUAUAUCAAAAAAUGAGUGUCAACCGGAUUAGAGCUCAUCCUCAAAUUGACUUAAAUCUGUAUUUUUAGGAGACGGAAAUUGUAUACUUAUGAGCUUGUUUCACGAAAAAUGUCCUAUAGCUUUAUAACGUAUAAUUUCUACCUUCCUAAAAUACAGACUCAAAACAGCUUUGGGAAUAUCAGCUCUUCGAUUGAUUUUUUGCGUAAUCGCAAAAUUAUAAAUUAUAAAUGUGGCAUGAGAAUUACAUUGAAACAAUCUUCUAUUGUAUUCAAUUAAUCGAUAAGAAAGAAGAUAAUUAUAGGUAGAUAAUAUGCAAUAUGCAAUUUCCAUGCAAUUAACAUUUUUACAGGACAUAAAUAAUUGCACAAUACUAGCCAAUAUAUUAUUCAUCUAAAAUUGACUGAUUACUAGCAUAAUUGAAAACAAUGAUCGACCGUGUAGUUAAGCGGUCUCGAAAUUUAAGCAUAUAUACAUAUUAUCGUACAGUGUAAGACAGCUGAAGUAAUUUGCAAUAAGAGGAUCAACUUUUAAAUAUUGCAUGUAAAACCUAAACAUAUUUACGUAAUAUAGAAAGGACUUAUUUACGUGUUACGGAAGAGAAAAAAGAAAAUCAAAUAUAUUACUUCGGCAUCUUUCCUAUAUACAAACUUCUGAAACAGAGUCUGUAUAAUUUAAAGCCACGUGCCACAUUACAUUAAAUUAAGCAUAUUGUAUUUUAUUUGUAAAUAGAAGCGGUGAGAGUUCUAAAUAAUAACGAGCAAUUGUCGCACUACGUGAACAAAUUGAUUAUUCCAAGUUUUAAAUUCGUACACACAUCAAAGGCACUUCAUGAUUUAAAACAGCAAUUAUUUAAACUUUCAUUUGUGUGGCAGAAUGUGAAAUCUUUAGACGUGUAUUCCUAGAGGCCUUACUGUGUCGAAGGCUCUGUAUAUAAUGAAUUACGUUGUUCGAGCUAUGUCUUGUAAUGUCGAUUAACUAUUAAAGUGAAUUAAUUAAGUUUUGAGAGCUAUAUACGUAUAUAUAUAUGUACACAUUAUAAAUAGUUAUUUAGUAACAAAGUUUACUGCGCUUUUCCGAAGAUCGCUUCGAACUGCCUAUUCGAUUUAAAUAAUUUUACCGGACGUUCACUCGCUUCGUGCAAAUGUUACAAGUAAUCCACAUGUGUUGUACAUUGCAAAAGUAGUCAGAAUAACAAGGUUGACGAGUAUAAAUAAACGCGCCAUUGCGACUCACCGUUUACCGAUACGAUUAGCUGCACGAUUAUCAGCGUAUUAACCAACCAGUAAUUCACACGAAACACUAUUACUACUGCAAUGAUAAUGAAAGUGCAGCUAGAAUUAUCAAAGAUAUCGGGAAUUAAUCGCGUAUGUACUCCGAUUGUCUUUAGACGUUAUGUCAACGAGUUGGAGGAACAUUAUGUAAUAUCGUACAUGAAGCAUGAAAUCGUGAAGAACCAUUAACAGGACUACACACACUUAGCGCUAAAUCACACGACAAAUAAAUCUCAGUGUACAUAAUGUAAAGAGAGACAAGCAGCAUAAAUCUAAUGACUCAUCGAAA